GAUGAACGCUGGCGGCGUGCCUAAUACAUGCAAGUCGAGCGAACAGAUAAGGAGCUUGCUCCUUUGACGUUAGCGGCGGACGGGUGAGUAACACGUGGGUAACCUACCUAUAAGACUGGGAUAACUUCGGGAAACCGGAGCUAAUACCGGAUAAUAUUUCGAACCGCAUGGUUCGAUAGUGAAAGAUGGUUUUGCUAUCACUUAUAGAUGGACCCGCGCCGUAUUAGCUAGUUGGUAAGGUAACGGCUUACCAAGGCGACGAUACGUAGCCGACCUGAGAGGGUGAUCGGCCACACUGGAACUGAGACACGGUCCAGACUCCUACGGGAGGAAGCAGUAGGGAAUCUUCCGCAAUGGGCGAAAGCCUGACGGAGCAACGCCGCGUGAGUGAUGAAGGUCUUCGGAUCGUAAAACUCUGUUAUUAGGGAAGAACAUACGUGUAAGUAACUGUGCACGUCUUGACGGUACCUAAUCAGAAAGCCACGGCUAACUACGUG
rnacentral:rRNA from 1 species